rnacentral:rRNA from 1 species
UACGUAGGGGGCAAGCGUUGUCCGGAAUCACUGGGCGUAAAGGGCGCGUAGGCGGAUCUUUAAGUCGGGGGUGAAAGCCUGAGGCUCAACCUCAGAAUUGCCUUCGAUACUGGAGAUCUUGAGACCGGAAGAGGUAAGUGGAACUGCGAGUGUAGAGGUGAAAUUCGUAGAUAUUCGCAAGAACACCAGUGGCGAAGGCGGCUUACUGGUCCGGUUCUGACGCUGAGGCGCGAAAGCGUGGGGAGCAAACAGG